GUGCUCAAUGGGAGAGCAUCUGCUUGAUAUUCAGACGGUCCCGGGUUCAGUUCCGGGCAUCUCCA
rnacentral:tRNA from 1 species